rnacentral:rRNA from 1 species
GAGUUUGAUCAUGGCUCAGGAUGAACGCUAGCGGCAGGCUUAAUACAUGCAAGUCGAGGGGCAGCAUGGUUGUAGCAAUACAACUGAUGGCGACCGGCAAACGGGUGCGGAACACGUACACAACCUUCCUUCGAGCGGGGAAUAGCCCAGAGAAAUUUGGAUUAAUACCCCAUAGCAUAUUGAAGAGGCAUCUCUUUAAUAUUAAAGAUUUAUCACUUGAAGAUGGGUGUGCGGCUGAUUAGGUAGUUGGCGGGGUAACGGCCACCAAGCCUGCGAUCAGUAACUGGUGUGAGAGCACGACCAGUCACACGGGCACUGAGACACGGGCCCGACUCCUACGGGAGGCAGCAGUGGGGAAUUGUUCACAAUGGGCGCAAGCCUGAUGACGCAACGCCGCGUGGGGGAUGAAGGUCUUCGGAUUGUAAACCCCUGUCGAACGGGACGAAAGACUCGGGAGCUAAUCAUCUCGAGAGUGACGGUACCGUUAAAGGAAGCCACGGCUAACUCUGUG